CCUACGGGAGACAGCAGUCGAGAAUCAUUCACAAUGGGGGAAACCCUGAUGGUGCGACGCCGCGUGGGGGAAUGAAGGUCUUCGGAUUGUAAACCCCUGUCAUGUGGGAGCAAAUUAAAAAGAUAGUACCACAAGAGGAAGAGACGGCUAACUCUGUGCCAGCAGCCGCGGUAAUACAGAGGUCUCAAGCGUUGUUCGGAACCACUGGGCGUAAAGCGUGCGUAGGCUGUUUCGUAAGUCGUGUGUGAAAGGCGCGGGCUCAACCCGCGGACGGCACAUGAUACUGCGAGACUAGAGUAAGGGAGGGGGAACCGGAAUUCUCGGUGUAGCAGUGAAAUGCGUAGAUAUCGAGAGGAACACUCGUGGCGAAGGCGGGUUCCUGGACAUUAACUGACGCUGAGGCACGAAGGCCAGGGGAGCGAAAGGGAUUAGAUACCCGAGUAGUC
rnacentral:rRNA from 1 species